rnacentral:rRNA from 1 species
CCCUUAGAUGUUCUGGGCCGCACGCGCGCUACACUGAUGAACGCAACGAGACGACCUGUACCGAAAGGCAUGGGUAAACUUGUGAAAGUUCAUCGUGAUGGGGGUAGAUUAUUGCAAUUAUUAAUCUUCAACGAGGAAUUCCUAGUAAGCGCGAGUCAUCAGCUCGCGUUGAUUACGUCCCUGCCCUUUGUACACACCGCCCGUCGCUCCUACCGAUUGAAUGGUCCGGUGAAAUCUUCGGAUUGCUGGAUAGGAGGGCAACCACCUAUCUGCGAGAAGUUGCUUGAACCUUAUCAUUUAGAGGAAGGAGAAGUCGUAACA